rnacentral:misc_RNA from 1 species
UCUCCGUUAUCCGGAGCAGUCCUCUUAGAGUUCCCCCUUGCGGGUGGCAACUAAGAGUAAGGGUUGCGCUCGUUGCGGGACUUAACCCAACACCUCACGGCACGAGCUGACGACAGCCAUGCAGCACCUCUACUACUGUCUCUUGCGAGAAGGCGAUGUUUCCACCGCUGGUCAGUAGCGGUUCAAGCCCAGGUAAGGUUCUUCGCGUUGCGUCGAAUUGAACCACAUGUUCCACCGCUUGUGCGGGCCCCCGUCAAUUCCUUUGAGUUUCAGUCUUGCGACCGUACUCCCCAGGCGCAGGACUUAACGCGUUAGCUACGGGACGCACCCCCAACGGGAUGCACCGUUUACAGCUAGGACUAC